AAAGAGCGCGUAGGCGGACCCUUAAGUGAGGGGUGAAAGGUUCGGGCUCAACCCGGAGAGUGCCUUUCAUACUGGGGGUCUUGAGUGCGGGAGAGGCAAGUGGAAUGGUCGGUGUAGCGGUGAAAUGCGUAGAUAUCGAUCGGAACACCCGUGGCGAAGGCGGCUUGCUGGCUCGCAACUGACGCUGAGGCGCGAAAGCGUGGGGAGCAAACAGGAUUAGAUACCCGUGU
rnacentral:rRNA from 1 species